UACGAGGGGGGCUAGUGUUGUUCGGAAUCACUGGGCGUAAAGGGAGCGUAGGCGGGAGCCUAAGUUGGGUGUUUAAUUCCGGGGCCCAACCCCGGGCAGGCACUCAAAACUGGGUUUCUUGAAUAGGGGAGAGGUCGGUGGAAUUGGAGGUGUAGCGGUGGAAUGCGUAGAGAUCUCCAAGAACACCCGUUGCGAAGGCGGCCGACUGGACCCAUAUUGACGCUGAGGCUCGAAAGCAUGGGGAGCAAACAGG
rnacentral:rRNA from 1 species